GACGAACGCUGGCGGCGCGCCUAACACAUGCAAGUCGAACGGAGUCAAGAGGAGCUUGCUUUUCUUGACUUAGUGGCGAACGGGUGAGUAACGCGUGAGUAACCUGCCCUGGAGUGGGGGACAACAGUUGGAAACGACUGCUAAUACCGCAUAAGCCCACGGAUCUGCAUGGAUCUGCGGGAAAAGGAUUUAUUCGCUCUAGGAUGGACUCGCGUCCAAUUAGCUAGUUGGUGAGGUAACGGCCCACCAAGGCGACGAUUGGUAGCCGGACGGAGAGGUUGAACGGCCACAUUGGGACUGAGACACGGCCCAGACUCCUACGGGAGGCAGCAGUGGGGGAUAUUGCACAAUGGGGGAAACCCUGAUGCAGCGACGCCGCGUGGAGGAAGAAGGUUUUCGGAUUGUAAACUCCUGUCGUUAGGGACGAUAAUGACGGUACCUAACAAGAAAGCACCAGCUAACUACGUG
rnacentral:rRNA from 1 species